rnacentral:rRNA from 1 species
GACGAACGCUGGCGGCGUGCCUAAUACAUGCAAGUAGAACGCACAGUUUAUACCGUAGCUUGCUACACCAUAGACUGUGAGUUGCGAACGGGUGAGUAACGCGUAGGUAACCUGCCUGGUAGCGGGGGAUAACUAUUGGAAACGAUAGCUAAUACCGCAUAAUAUUAAUUAUUGCAUGAUAAUUAAUUGAAAGGUGCAAUUGCACCACUACCAGAUGGACCUGCGUUGUAUUAGCUAGUAGGUGAGGUAACGGCUCACCUAGGCGACGAUACAUAGCCGACCUGAGAGGGUGAUCGGCCACACUGGGACUGAGACACGGCCCAGACUCCUACGGGAGGCAGCAGUAGGGAAUCUUCGGCAAUGGACGAAAGCCUGACCGAGCAACGCCGCGUGAGUGAAGAAGGUUUUCGGAUCGUAAAGCUCUGUUGUAAGAGAAGAACGGGUGUGAGAGUGGAAAGUUCACACUGUGACGGUAUCUUACCAGAAAGGGACGGCUAACUACGUG